UCUCUCUCCUUCCCCUUCUUCACCUACCACAUCGAGAUUGUCAACAUCCUCUCUCUCUUUUUCUCCUCUCUCUCUCUCUCUCUCAGAAGGUCGUUCUCUCUCGCUUUCUCUCUUAGUCGGAAGAUAAAAACGUGCAAAUGUAGAAAGAGAAGAAGGUAAGUCGAUGGUGGGUGAUGCCGACACUGUCUGCGGUGGUCCAAGGCGGCACCAGAGGCUGGGUCUUCUCGAAACCAUUGUUGGCAUCUCAAUGGGUCUUCCUUACAGUGUGCACGGCGACUAUAAAAGGGAAACAUAGGAGAGAUCAAGAGAGAGAGUCGCGACUGCUUAAAGGAGGGCCGUUGUCCAACCUGCUCCGUGACUUUUGAUGGCGGCAAGGGACGCAGGGUGGAGAGAUAGAAAAGAAAGUCUUCUGUCUGAGUUGAGAGAGAGAUGACAUUUUCGAUGGUUUAACCGAAAAGCAUAUCGCAAAUUUGGAACAAAAGUAGGGGUGAAAUGGAAAAAAAAAGUAUUAGACGAAAACACUGUUACAAACAGAUUCGCACUUUAUGUGUAAGUAUAGAUAUAGAUAUAUAUACGUGUGAUUAAUUAGUCACUAGUGACUACAGUAGGCCUGUACGUACUGAAAUUAAUGAACUACUCUUGCGUGCGGAUUGCAGAUACUUUAUUAUUAUUUUU